rnacentral:rRNA from 1 species
UACAGAGGAUGCAAGCGUUAUCCGGAAUGAUUGGGCGUAAAGCGUCUGUAGGUGGCUUUUUAAGUCCGCCGUCAAAUCCCAGGGCUCAACUCUGGACAGGCGGUGGAAACUACCAAGCUGGAGUACGGUAGGGGCAGAGGGAAUUUCCGGUGGAGCGGUGAAAUGCGUAGAGAUCGGAAGGAACAUCAGUGGCGAAAGCGACUUCCUGGACCAAUACUGACGCUCAUGUGCGAAAGCGUGGGGAGCAAACAGG